rnacentral:rRNA from 1 species
CCUACGGGUGGCAGCAGUGGGGGAUAUUGGACAAUGGGGGGAACCCUGAUCCAGCGACGCCGCGUGAGUGAAGAAGUAUCUCGGUAUGUAAAGCUCUAUCAGCAGGGAAGAAGAAAUGACGGUACCUGAGUAAGAAGCCCCGGCUAACUACGUGCCAGCAGCCGCGGUCAUACGUAGGGGGCAAGCGUUAUCCGGAAUUACUGGGUGUAAAGGGAGCGUAGACGGUGAUGUAAGUCUGGAGUGAAAUCCCGGGGCUUAACCCCGGAACUGCUUUGGAAACUGUGCGGCUGGAGUGCAGGAGGGGUAAGCGGAAGUCCUAGUGUAGCGGUGAAAUGCGUAGAUAUUAGGAGGAACACCGGUGGCGAAGGCGGCUUACUGGACUGUAACUGACGUUGAGGCUCGAAAGCGUGGGGAGCAAACAGGAUUAGAUACCCGGGUAGUC